rnacentral:rRNA from 1 species
UACGUAGGGGGCUAGCGCUGUCCGGAAUCAUUGGGCGUAAAGCGCGUGUAGGCGGCCCGGUAAGUCCGCUGUGAAAGUCGGGGGCUCAACCCUCGGAUGCCGGUGGAUACUGUCGGGCUAGAGUGCGGAAGAGGCGAGUGGAAUUCCUGGUGUAGCGGUGAAAUGCGCAGAUAUCAGGAGGAACACCAAUUGCGAAGGCAGCUCGCUGGGACGUGACUGACGCUGAGACGCGAAAGCGUGGGGAGCAAACAGG